rnacentral:rRNA from 1 species
UACGUAGGGUGCAAGCGUUGUCCGGAAUUAUUGGGCGUAAAGAGCGUGUAGGCGGCCCCGUUAGUCCGCUGUGAAAGUCCAGGGCUCAACCCUGGAAUGCCGGUGGAUACUGCGGGGCUAGAGUCCGGAAGGGGCGAGUGGAAUUCCUGGUGUAGCGGUGAAAUGCGUAGAUAUCAAGUGGAACACCAGUGGCGAAGGCGAGUCUCUGGACAUUUCCUGACGCUGAGGCACGAAAGCCAGGGGAGCAAACGGG